GUGGGGAAUCUUGCGCAAUGGGCGAAAGCCUGACGCAGCCAUGCCGCGUGAAUGAUGAAGGUCUUAGGAUUGUAAAAUUCUUUCACCGGGGACGAUAAUGACGGUACCCGGAGAAGAAGCUCCGGCUAACUUCGUGCCAGCAGCCGCGGUAAUACGAAGGGGGCUAGCGUUGCUCGGAAUUACUGGGCGUAAAGGGCGCGUAGGCGGACAGCUUAGUCAGAGGUGAAAGCGCAGGGCUCAACCUUGGAAUUGCCUUUGAUACUGGCUGUCUUGAGUUUGGGAGAGGUGAGUGGAACUCCGAGUGUAGAGGUGAAAUUCGUAGAUAUUCGGAAGAACACCAGUGGCGAAGGCGACUCACUGGCCCAAUACUGACGCUGAGGCGCGAAAGCGUGCGGAGCAAACAGGAUUAGAAACCCUAGUAGUCC
rnacentral:rRNA from 1 species